rnacentral:snRNA from 1 species
GGCCGGCCCUGCAUACCAAUCUU